GACGAACCACACAAACGUUAUUCGGAAUUACUGGGCUUAAAGGGUGCGUAGGCGGCGCGGAAAGUAGGGUGUGAAAUCCCUCGGCUCAACCGAGGAAUUGCGCCCUAAACUACCGUGCUCGAGGGAGAUAGAGGUGAGCGGAACUUAGGGUGGAGCGGUGAAAUGCGUUGAUAUCCUAAGGAACACCGGUGGCGAAAGCGGCGCACUGGAUCUCUUCUGACGCUGAGGCACGAAAGCUAGGGUAGCGAACGGG
rnacentral:rRNA from 1 species